GUGCCAGCAGCCGCGGUAAUACAGAGGGUGCAAGCGUUAAUCGGAGUUACUGGGCGUAAAGGGCGCGUAGGCGGUUGAUUAAGUGAGAUGUGAAAGCCCCGGGCUUAACCUGGGAACGGCAUCUUAAACUGGUUGACUGGAGUACUGUAGAGGGUAGUGGAAUUUCCGGUGUAGCGGUGAAAUGCGUAGAGAUCGGAAGGAACACCAGUGGCGAAGGCGGCUACCUGGACAGAUACUGACGCUGAGGCGCGAGAGCGUGGGGAGCAAACAGGAUUAGAUACCCUGGUAGUCC
rnacentral:rRNA from 1 species